rnacentral:lncRNA from 1 species
AUGGAAGGGGAAGACAAAUCUGUUCUGUUUGGUUUCCAUAGAUUCGACCCAGAGAUUAACUGCCAAGGUCUUGAUGACACACACAAUAUCAAUCAUGGGCUAAAUGUCAUAAUGAGAGCUGGGCAGGUUGUCAAGAGAGGCCUCCAGGUUUCUGUUACAGCUUCAUAUUUAAAGGUUUGGUCCCAGGAAACUAAAUGCCAUCCUGAAGGCUACUUGGCCUGUCUCUGCCCCAAAGGAGAGCAGGCUCCUUCCUGGAGGGGCCAAGCAGAGUGGGGCCUCCCGGAAACCGUGAGGAGGCUGGAGGCCCGAACCCGGCUUCCCUCUCAGACAGGGGAGCGGGCUGGGAUGGACUUUACCUCCGCGCCUGGGCCCUGUGGGGAAGGAGAAGCUCUGGUGCAGGGCACCGGGGACCAUGAUGUGUGACCAGGCCAGCUGUGGCUCCUGACUCCUGAGCAGCCGGGCUUUGGCCUCCUCCGAGAAAUACUACAGGCAAUUUUACAGCUCAUGAAUUCAGGAAUAGAGGGCCUCGGGCCACAACUUUCAGGAGCUGCUUCCCACUGUGCGUCACCUCAAACACAAGGCCUCGGUGCGUGGGGCAAACGGGAAGUGGGGUAGACUGAGGGGUGCAGCCCUCACGUGGGCCUGCCACCUCCCCUUCCCCGCCUGGCCUCCUGUCUCGGGACUAUGCAGGGGUAGCUCUGGGCCUUGGGAAGGCGUUGAGCCAAAUACUCGCUUUUUAAGCUGCCAUGAAAGCUCACUUGAGUGGCCAAGGCCGGGCAGGACCCAGGGCAGCGGUCAUACAGUCGCUACCUCUACUGUGCGUCCAGUGACCAUCUACUCAAGCCCCCAAGACACGAAAGAGCUGCCCCUGCUUCACAGAUGAGCAAAAUGAGAGUCAGGGGUUAGUAACACAAUACCAGGUGAUGUGACUGGGCGUCACCCAGGCAGCCAGGCAGCCACCCCAAGUCAUGAGAGGGUCACUGUAUUCUUGGUCACAAGGUUUACGCUCCCGAGGGCAGGCCUGGGCCCUUCGUUUUUGUCUCAUCCCUAAUGUGCAUCCCAGUGCGGUGUGCAGUCGGGGAAAGAGCUCUCACUGGCCUUGGAGUCUAACAAACCUACCUGGGCUUCAGCUUCCUCAUCUGUAGAAUAGGGAUCAUAUCCACCUCAUGGGUUGUAGGAUCAAAUGAGAGGAUACAAGUCCUCGGCACAUUGACAGGGGCUCAGAAAAUGUUUUAUGAAAGAGGACAAACAAGGAAGCAGUGAGGAGGCUGGAUGGAGAGCUCCCGGUUGGGUUGGGAGCUAAAUUCUGAGCGCGGGGCCGAGGGUCUCUAUAGAGUAAUUGUGGCAGAUGGGAUGGGGCGUGAGUAAGCCUGAACAUUCUCCUAUGGGUGUUAGGGCUCAUUUGCUCAUGUGCAAAGUAUCC